rnacentral:rRNA from 1 species
GCCGUUGAUCUGAAGUCAGGAUCACUCCGUGUUACACUGCAAUCGCGUGUCGCCCUUAGAGUUUGAUCCUGGCUCAGGAUGAACGCUGGCGGCGUGCCUAACACAUGCAAGUCGAACGCGAGCCUUAUUUCGGUAGGGUGAAAGUGGCGAACGGGUGAGUAACACGUUGGUGACCUGCCCCGAGGCGGGGGAUAGCUGUCGGAAACGACAGCUAAUACCGCGGAUGUCACCGGGUUUAGAAACCGGAGACUAAAGCUUUGGCGCCUGGGGAGGGGCCUGCGGGCUAUCAGCUAGUUGGUGAGGUAACGGCUCACCAAGGCCAAGACGGCUAGGGGGCGUGAGAGCGUGGCCCCCCACAAUGGAACUGAGACACGGUCCAUACUCCUACGGGAGGCAGCAGUGAGGAAUAUUGCCCAAUGGGGGAAACCCUGAGGCAGCAACGCCGCGUGGACGAAGACGGCCUUCGGGUUGUAAAGUCCUUUUCUGGGGGACGAUGAUGACGGUACCCCAGGAAUAAGUUCCGGCUAACUACGUGCCAGCAGCCGCGGUAAAACGUAGGGGACAAGCGUUAUCCGGAUUUACUGGGCGUAAAGCGCACGUAGGCGGUGCGGUAAGUUGGACGUGAAAGCUCCCGGCUUAACUGGGAGAGGUCGUACAAAACUGCCGUGCUUGAGGCUGAGAGAGGAGAGCGGAAUUCCCGGUGUAGUGGUGGAAUGCGUAGAUAUCGGGAGGAACACCAGUGGCGAAGGCGGCUCUCUGGCUCAGAACUGACGCUGAGGUGCGAAAGUGUGGGGAGCGAACGGGAUUAGAUACCCCGGUAGUCCACGCUGUAAACGAUGUCAACUAGCCGUUGGACCUCUAUACAGGUUUAGUGGCGCAGCUAACGCAUUAAGUUGACCGCCUGGGGAGUACGGCCGCAAGGUUAAAACUCAAAUGAAUUGACGGGGGCCCGCACAAGCGGUGGAGCAUGUGGUUUAAUUCGAUGCAACGCGAAGAACCUUACCUACCCUUGACAUCCAGAGAAUCUGUUAGAGAUAGCGGAGUGCCUUCGGGAACUCUGAGACAGGUGCUGCAUGGCUGUCGUCAGCUCGUGUCGUGAGAUGUUGGGUUAAGUCCCGCAACGAGCGCAACCCUCGCCCUUAGUUGCCAUCAUUCAGUUGGGCACUCUAAGGGGACUGCCGGUGAUAAGCCGAGAGGAAGGUGGGGAUGACGUCAAGUCCUCAUGGCCCUUACGGGCUGGGCUACACACGUGCUACAAUGGUGGUGACAGUGGGCAGCAAGCACGCGAGUGUGAGCUAAUCUCCAAAAGCCAUCUCAGUUCGGAUUGCACUCUGCAACUCGAGUGCAUGAAGUUGGAAUCGCUAGUAAUCGCGGAUCAGCACGCCGCGGUGAAUACGUUCCCGGGCCUUGUACACACCGCCCGUCACACCAUGGGAGUUGGUUUUACCCGAAGGCGCUGCGCUAACCCGCAAGGGAGGCAGGCGACCACGGUAGGGUCAGCGACUGGGGUGAAGUCGUAACAAGGUAACCAAGGGCGACACGCGAUUGCAGUCUUGAGUCCAC